rnacentral:tRNA from 1 species
UGGCUCAGACUGUAAAGCAUCUGCUUACAAUGCAGGAGACUCAGGUUCGAUUCCUGG